CCCAGCCGAUAGCGAACAAGUAGAGUGAUCGAAAGAUGAAAAGCACUUUUGAAAAGAGAGUUAAAAAGCACGUGAAAUUGUUGAAAGGGAAGCGCUUGCGACCAGACUUCGCCUCCAGGGUUCAGCCGGCAUUCGUGCCGGUGUACUAUCCCUGGGGGCGGGCCAGCGUCGGUUUGGGCGGCCGGUCAAAGGCUUCCCGGAAUGUAGUGCCCUCCGGGGCACCUUUAUAGCCGGGAGUG
rnacentral:rRNA from 1 species